rnacentral:rRNA from 1 species
GCGGAGGCAGCAGUGAGGAAUUUUCCGCAAUGGGCGAAAGCCUGACGGAGCAAUACCGCGUGAGGGACGACGGCUUUUGGGUUGUAAACCUCUUUUCCCUGGGAAGAAGAUCUGACGGUACCAGGGGAAUCAGCAUCGGCUAACUUCGUGCCAGCAGCCGCGGUAAUACGAGGGAUGCAAGCGUUAUCCGGAAUUAUUGGGCGUAAAGCGUCCGCAGGUGGCUCUGUAAGUCUGUCGUUAAAGAAUGGGGCUCAACCCCAUACAGGCGAUGGAAACUACAAGGCUAGAGUUUGGUAGGGGUCACGGGAAUUCUUAGUGUAGCGGUGAAAUGCGUAGAUAUUAAGAAGAACACCAGCGGCGAAAGCGCGUGACUGGGCCAGUACUGACACUCAUGGACGAAAGCUAGGGGAGCGAAAGGGAUUAGAUACCCCGGUAGG